GACGAGAGAGCGGUUAAGGUGAUGGACUGCUAAUCCAUUGUUCAUUGCACGCAUGGGUUUGAAUCCUAUCCUCGCCG
rnacentral:tRNA from 1 species